AAGGCAUGGUGGUGACACUUCUUAAGUAACCCUUUGAAGCUUUCAUAUGCUUCAUAAAUUAACUUUCCAUCUAUAUGGGUGAAUGAAGGGGUAUCAUUCCUAAGCUU